AACGCCUUGGGGAGAAACUGCCCUGAGGGUGACGGUACUUGAGUAGAAAGCCCCGGCUAACUACGUGCCAGCAGCCGCGGUAAUCCGUAGGCGGCAAGCGCUGUCCGGAAUUAUUGGGCGUAAAGCGCGCGCAAGCGGCGGCUUAAGUUUGGUGUAUAAGCCCGGGGCUCAACCCCGGAUCGCACCGAAAACUGGGCGGCUUGAGUGCAGGAGAGGAAAGCGGAAUUCCACGUGUAGCGGUGAAAUGCGUAGAGAUGUGGAGGAACACCAGUGGCGAAGGCGGCUUACUGGUCUGUAACUGACGCUGAGGCGCGAAAGCGUGGGGAGCAAACAGGAUUAGAUACCCUGGUAGUCCACGCCGUAAACGAUGAGUGCUAGGUGCUAGGGGUUUCGAUACCCUUGGUGCCGAAGUCAACUCAAUAAGCACUCCGCCUGGGGAGUACGUUCGCAAGAGUGAAACUCAAAGGAAUUCACGGGGACCCGCACAAGCAGUGGAGUAUGU
rnacentral:rRNA from 1 species